GUUCACCUUGGUAACAGAUACAAAAACUGGAAAGACACAGAGAAGAUUAGCUUGGACCUUGAGCAGGGAUAACAUGUAAAGUCAUGACAUGUUCCAUAUUUUC